GGCAAGGCGCUGGUGAGGAUGUCAGCCCUGCCUUGGGAGAGGAGGCGGCUCCAGUGCCUGUGCAAGGCCGCUGUGUGCAGGCCCCACUUUCGUGCCCCCGGAGCCAGUUGUGCUGUCGGCAGGGUUGGCUGGCGUCCAGGCUUACCUGGACCGGUCUUGCUCCCCACACCACACUGCCUGUGUAGUCACUUACUACAACUAACCACUGUGAAAUUAUUCGCAGGCCUUGGAAAUAACAUAUGGAAGUAUGUCCAUGUAUGUUCCACAAGGACAUUUUUGAGAGUUGUGGGUUUCCAAAAUUUUAAGCACUAGAAAAGAAGAAAUCGAAAAAUGUGAGUAUAGGAUUUUGUUAGAGCAAUUUUUGCCUUUUAUUUAUUUAUUUUGGUGUAUAGAGUUACUUCACAAUGUUUGUGGAAAGUGGAAUGAAAGUUAAAUUUAUUUUAGGUACAAAAAAAGUGAGACCCAUGCCUAGUUUUGUAUAAUGUGCAUUUCGAUGAAUUUUUGAAGACCUUUGGUGUUUACACAACACAAUGUUAAAUGGGAUUUUAGCAGUGGCUGUAGACAAUUCAAACAGAUUUCCUUAUCUGCUUUCCCCUGAUAUUGUCAUCUACAUGUAAUUCAGGGCUGAUCACAAUUCCAUGUCACUUUGAGCUGAAUAGACACGAACGCUUCUUGAAUCUUCCCUGUUUGCUUCCAUGACUGGGGAGAAGUGGGCAGUAUUUGGAAAUAUCUCAUAUCACUGCUGCGACUGCCUGAGGAAUCAUGUGAGCACUAUGGCUGCUACUUUGUUAGGUGCACAGUUGCCUGGGGUGUCUCUUACUAGUUUCUGCUCAUACGCGCGUAGGUCCUCGGAUCUGGAUUAACCGGAAAGUACGGCUGACAUUUCUAAUCUGAAAUCCUGAAAUCCAAAAUGCUCAUAAAUCUGACACUUUUUGAGUGCCAUCCUGAUGCAAAGUCCAACGUUUUGGACUUUGGACCACUUUGGAUUUCAGAGUUUCACAUUAGGGGAUGCUCAACUAGAAAAGUUGAUGAAAAUGUCCCCAAAUCUGAAAAAUUCCAGAAUCUGAAACACUCCAGUCCCAACAUUUCAGAAAAGGGCUACUCUACCUGUACAGGAAAGAUCAAUUAGAGAUUGUCUGGAAAAUUCAGAUCAAAAACUACUUUGCAUGGAAAUACAUCCAAGGG
rnacentral:lncRNA from 1 species